AGAAAUACAACAACAAAGAUAUGUGUGAAGUCAACCAACCCGCACUUGGCCAGCGUGAUUGACUAUGGCCUAGUCAUCUCUAACAUCAACCUUUACUGUCACGUACAGACUAAAUGCAAGCUAAUGUCGUAAUUCGACUACCCUCAAAUUGAUCGCGUUGAUUUUUUUUGUAUAAUUUGGUGAUUGAAUCAUAUGAAGCGAGGGAUCAAACACCAAAGAUUAAGUAGUGUUUUGCCGCAAAACACUACGUAUUAAUUUACUCUGAAUGUGUGUUGUAAAUGUGUUGCAUGCAGUUUUUUAUUAUAUAUAUGCGUAGCCAAUUAAACGACACCAAUUACAACAUAUUUAUUUAUUUAUUUAUUUAUCAUUGAUGAAUCUUUGAAAUAAUUGCGUGAGACUAAUAUUAUAUUUCCACAACAGGUGGUGCAAUCAGGAAUGUUAAUUUCGAUAGUUCAUUAACUUGACGUUUGGAUAAAAUCUAAUUUUGCCUAAGAAGCAAAAAACGGUGAGGUGAGUCGGAGUUAUAAGGACUUAAAAAAUAAGAAACCUUAGUUUUAACACUCAAUCACAUGUUAACUGUGAUAUCUGAUAAAACUGCAGAAAGAGGGAGAGCCAUAACCAAAAUAUGAAGAAUCGAACCGCAGAAAAAAUUUGAAGUGUCUUUAUGUAACUAAAAUAGGAGAGCAUAAAACAUCACAACUAAGACGGUUUCGAGCUAAAUACUUCAUGAUCACGAGAUAUGGCCAACGUUCAUCUGAGAUGGAAUACAAAAACUUAUAAUUACGGGUAAAAUAGAGGAAAAAUGACUCUGAGAGCGCCGUAUGCAUUAGAGUAAUCAAUUAUGCUAGAUGAGUUUUGUAAGAAGCAAAAAGAAUAGAAGAAUUAAACUAAAAGCUUGAACUGUUUCGCUUUAUCCCGUGGGGGGUUCGAGUCUGGGCCACUUGAGUCGUACCUGUAUAUCAAGCCUCGCAAAUCUUAGCGGCCACGGAUGUUUUAGAAAGAAGCUGUACGAUAUGAAUUUGGUUGAAUCAAGUAUGUGUCAGUGCGUUAUGCUGAGAAAGAUGCUCAUCACGUUCUGUGGAAGUAUCCUCAGUAUGUAGACCUGAAAACGAAAAGGAUAAACGAAUUGCUCGCCAGGAUGCGGGUCAGAUUUACUAUCUGGAUCACGUUAGCAACGGAGCCAACUAUACCUCGUGAGCUCGCGCGUCAGUGGCAACAACGAAGAUGUAGGCUGAAGUACAGUGGGAGCCUGACUGCAAAGGUGUAGAUGAUCUAUUUCGUCCAUUUGGGAGAAUGCAACUUGCCAAUCAAGACCCGAAAUUGGUCUUCGCCUAUAUGAGGGUCGGUGGCACCAUGAGUGUUAGUGGACUGUAGAUGUCCAAAUAUGCACCGCGCUCGACACUUUACUAUGUAUAACGCCAUCUACAACAUUGAGAACCGCACAUUAUGAUGAAACACCCUACGGGAGAUGGUGAAGAAAAGAGGUUACGAAUCAGGAAUAAGGAAACGUUACGGAGAGAUAAACAGAAAUGCUUCUGAAAUACGAUGAAGUAACCACUGCCUAUGACCUAAAGAUGAAGUUACCUGAUAAUUUUAUAAUGUAUUCGGAUGCGACUGAUCUGGCUUAUUCGUUGAAUGUAAAACAAAUUAUAUAAAUGAUAUAGAAGACAUAGUGCGUCAAUAUACUGUUACAUCAGAAGAAUGUUAUUUAUAGUUAAUUAAUUUAAGAAUCAAUCGUAACAUUGUAAAGACUAAUUUAUUUACUAAGAUAACUCCUUGUAGAGUGUCUCUGAUGUAUCAAUGCCAAGGGAAAUUAAUUGUUUAUGAUGUACUGAACAUAAUGUUUUUUAUAUUAAUGCGGCAAUCACAUGUUUAUCAAUCAGAUUAUCUUAUUAUGUAUAAUCUCAUCAUAAUUUCAAAAUGUUAAAAAUUAACAAACGUAACACGUAACACUGCUCCUUUCCAAGAGCGAUUUCGCCCUGAAACGUUUUCGAAUACUGCUAACUGUUCCCUACGCUAAGGUUCAAUUUUCUUCCGCGUUAUAGCUCCCUGGAAAUAGCGCUAAGUCGUUAAAGUUGACUAUCAUUGGUUUUCCAUGCGGCGACUUUUGUAUUCCAUAACAAGUAUAAUUGACACGCUUUAAAAUCUCAUAGGGUUUUUCCCAAGAAUUUUGUAGCUAAGGCGACAAGCCUUGUCUAGAUCUCCCUAUUGAAAAGUUGUUUUCUAUGCUCCUUCACCUUAUCACUGGCGCUCGAAAUGUUUAGGCCAACUCUUUUAUAUAAAUCUUUCAUUCUCCACCGCAGCUGUCUUACGUAGCUCCAGCAAUAUCGUUACCUGGUGGACAGGCAAACUUCAGAUCACACCACUCCUUCACAUCGUUUUCGCUCUGUACCCAAUGUUCCCUCAAUUUUCCUAUGGUUCUUAUAACCCUGUGUAAUUCCUUCGUGAACUCCUUCCAUCACUUCGAUGCGUCUACAGAUCUCUUUGUAGAUUUAACAAUUUUCAAGACUCCAUCAUUUGUAUUAGGGAAUCCCAUUGAGCCCAGUAAGACUUAUCUGUCAGUCGUAUCGUGCCUCUUCUUGCCAUGAUGGUAUUAUACUUUUAAUCUUCUAAGCAAUGAUCAUGCUUAAAUCUUGGACCUUCUCCUGGUCUAGUCUUAAUUUUGCCGGCUGCCAGGCGUCAUUAAUUCCAGUAGUUCUACACAAAGUGGUUUUCUUUUCCUCAACUCUUAGGCAACAUUUUCAGGUCUUCUUGACAAAGUUUCAGAAUUCUUAUGUGCUCGGUGUUCAAUAUAAAAAAGAAUUCGGAUUCUUACAAUCUCUAUAUCUAUCUUGCGACUUGUUCUUCAGGAUUUUCUAACUGUAGUAAACAAUAUACUGUUGAAACUUUCGUGAGAUAUUAACUGAAACAAAUUAAAACCGGGUCAACACACGUAUGAUCUUCCGGGGACGGUGACUUAAUGUUAACAGCAACAGCAGUGAUUCAACGUUUUUGAGCACGAUGACAUCGCCUUCGUCGACGCACGAAGCGGCCGCAGCGCACCCUGCGGCCGGCGUCAUUUCUAGCCGCGUUCUUCGCGCCCUGGCCCACAGUGCACGACGCGACGGUACUUCGAAGUAAGCGAACCCUGAAACCAGAAAGGUACUAAACUAAUCGGUGCCGUCACCGGAAGAUCAUACGUGAGUUGAGCCACCUUUAAUUCAUUUGAAGUAAACAUCUCAAAGCAGUAUAGUCGGUUCUCAGUAGAAACUCCAAUCCAUGCUAAUGUUUAGUGAUCCACUCCUUUUAUAUUAUUCAUACAUAUAUAGAUAUCCUGGAUAAUUAUUAUUAUGUUCAUUUCUCUGAGUUGUCCGAGUGGUUCCCGUGAAGUAUCAUUUCUUCGCCACACAAAGUUAAAGAUUUCCUCUUAAAAUCCAACUGGAAACCUUCGGAGUUCAUGAUGUCCAUUCCUAUAAUUACUUCUUCCUAGAUGGCCGCUACGAACUAUUACUUCACAAUAUAUUUUCACCAACUCUCAGUCACUGUCUGUAUAUUCUUUCUAUAGUUUCAUCCGUUACAAUAUCAAGUCUCAGAAUUGUUUUUGUCACACCUGUAUACAUAUAUAGUGUGUUCUUGUUCCAUCCCCGAAAACGCCGUUUUCUACUAAAUGUAAAGAAUUGACUUUGGCUAUACUCAUUGUUCGACGCAGGUCGAUGAUCACCCUUUCGCAUCAACCCUACUUUUUUUCACUACUACACUACGUUUUUUUUCAUUGUCUCAUCAUUUUCCGCGCAAUUUCUCCGAGUGAGUCCUAAUUUAUAUCGGUAUUUUCUCAAUAACGCGCGAGCCAAUGCAACGCCAAUGAUUAACAUUCUCCAAAUGACUUUAAUCGUAUCUCAAUUCCAAAUGUUUAAUGAGCACAUUAGAAUUAUCCUGUUCCCGGAUGCUAAUGGUUUGCAGAACAUCUGUAGCCUCUCCAUGAAGGGCAAACUAUAAUACUAAAGCUUUAUCUGAAUUAGUCCAACGAUAAGCUCUGGACGCUGCUUCAAAUUGACAGUGAUAAUUACUCCAAUAUGUCUUACCGCCAUUCUCAAGGAUUUUCAUAUCCACCAUAUCUUCCUCGGUUCUGUGUAGUAGUAGUUGGUAGUUGACAUCCCAUACUUUAUCCUUUGAUUCAAAUAUCUGAUAUUCUGCAAAUUUCAGGGCAUUAAUCCCUUACUUGAAUUUUUCAAUCUCCUUACUUUCUUCUACCUUAAAAAUAUUGAACGUUACUUCUAUCUCCACCAAUUUUCCAAUGAAAAUUCAUCCGCAGUUCGAGAAAUUUCAAAGCAGAGGCUAUCAGAGUCUUUAUCUUCCUUCAAUGCGAUUCGGAGUUUUCGUAUAAGUUUGGUUUUUAUACCGCUCGCAUCCAAGUCAUCAUCAACAGCCUUUAUCUGGCCACUGUUGGACAUAGGCCUUUCCCGUCUUGCACAAGAUGCGGUCCUCCGCCUUCCAUUUAUAACGACUUCCAACUGUACAAAGUCGUCGCACCCAAGUUUCUUUCAAUUCAUUCCUUAACUCCACCACUUUCAAAUCGUACAAUAAUGGCUGUGUGGCCAUACUCUACUCCUGAUAUCAAUUGUUACGGGUUUAUUCAUAUUUCUUGAUUAUCUUUCAAUAAUCUUUCGGUUUUAAAAAAAACAUAAACUACCACCACAUUUUUAUCACUUACAUACAAUCUAUAUCUAUACUAAUUUUUAAAGUGGAAAUAUUUGUAUUGUUGAAUUUUUGUAUUCUUGUACUUUUGUAUUCAAUAUUUUUGUAUGUAUUCGAUUCGUUUAAAAACUACUGUGUCUAUUUUAAGCUACUGAAAUAUUCAAGAAAUGUUUGUUACUUUUAAAAGUACGUAAGGUAAGUAAGGUAUAUUUAAAUAAGUACAGUUUUUAAUCUGCGCGAGGCAAUAUCUGACCUCAAUUUUUCAAUGUGACUUUGUUCCAGCCAAAAAUGUUAACUUAGAAUGGCUAGUGUCGCAUGAGACACUUCGGAGCAAUUUGUCUACACAUUGUUUACGCAGAGUUUCAUAUCUUGUCUUGUUGUAUUUUUGUAUGUAUUUAUUCACGUUAAAACUACUGUGUUGUUUUAAGCUACUGAAAUGUUCAAGAUUUGUUUUAUACUUUUGAGAGUUUUUCAAUGUGACUUUGUUCCAGCCAAAAAUGUUAAUUUAGAAUGGCUAGUGUCGCAUGAGACACUUCGGAGCAAUUUGUCUACACAUUGUUUACGCAAAGUUUCAUAUAUGAUUAUCACCCGGAAAAUGAUUUGAGGGUAGUAUUAAGGACAAAAAGUAUACAGACGAAUUGUCUAUUUCCUUCUGUGUCAGUCGGUCAUAAGAACAUUCGACAUGUUGUCAAUUUUAAUUAAAUACUUUUGUAUUGUUGAAUUUACAUAUGUAUUUAUUCACGUUAAAACUACUGUGUUGAUUUUAAACUACUGAAAUGUUCAAGAAUUGUUUGUUGUUUUUAAUCAUCAUCAUCAUCAUCACCAGCUCACAUACGUCCCCACCGAGGGGCUCGGAGCCUACC